UACGGGGGGGGCAAGCGUUGUUCGGAAUUACUGGGCGUAAAGGGCUCGUAGGUGGCCAACUAAGUCAGACGUGAAAUCCCUCGGCUUAACCGGGGAACUGCGUCUGAUACUGGAUGGCUUGAGUUCGGGAGAGGGAUGCGGAAUUCCAGGUGUAGCGGUGAAAUGCGUAGAUAUCUGGAGGAACACCGGUGGCGAAGGCGGCAUCCUGGACCGACACUGACACUGAGGAGCGAAAGCCAGGGGAGCGAACGGG
rnacentral:rRNA from 1 species